rnacentral:rRNA from 1 species
AAUGAACGCUGGCGGCAGGCUUAACACAUGCAAGUCGAGCGGAGAUAAGGUGCUUGCACCUUAUCUUAGCGGCGGACGGGUGAGUAAUGCUUAGGAAUCUGCCUAUUAGUGGGGGACAACAUUCCGAAAGGAAUGCUGAUACCGCAAACGUCCUACGGGAGAAAGCAGGGGAUCCUCGGACUUAGCGCUAUUAGAUGAGCCUAAGACGGAUUAGCGAGUUGGUGGGGUAAAGGCCUACCAAGACGACGAUCUGUAGCGGGUCGGAGAGGAUGAUCCGCCACACUGGGACUGAGACACGGCCCAGACUCCUACGGGAGGCAGCAGUGGGGAAUAUUGGACAAGGGGGGGAACCCUGAUCCAGCCAUGCCGCGUGUGUGAAGAAGGCGUUAUGGUUGUAAAGCACUUUAAGCGAGGAGGAGGCUACUGAGACUAAUACUCUUGGAUAGUGGACGUUACUCGCAGAAUAAGCACCGGCUAACUCUGUGCCAGCCGCCGCCGUAA